GCCCCGCAAGCAUCUCGUGAAUCCCCCCGGCUCAACCGGGAACUGCGGGGUGAACUGCGGGGCUUGAGGCAGGUAGAGGUCGUCGGAACGUUCGGUGGAGCGGUGAAAUGCGUGAUAUCGAACGGAACGCCUAUGGAGAAGUCAGGCGACUGGGCCUGUCCUGACGCUGAGGCACGAAAGCGUGGGUAGCGAACGGGAUUAGAUACCCCGGUAGUCCACGCCCUAAACGAUGCGCACUAGAUCGGGGCGGCUCUGACGCCGUCCCGGUCGAAGAGAAAUCGUUAAGUGCGCCGCCUGGGGAGUACGGUCGCAAGGCUAAAACUCAAAGGAAUUGACGGGGGCUCACACAAGCGGUGGAGCAUGUGGCUUAAUUCGAAGCAACGCGAAGAACCUUAUCCUGGACUUGACAUGCACGGAUUAGCUUUUGGAAACAGGAGUGACGCCCUUUGGGUAGAACGUGCACAGGUGCUGCAUGGCUGUCGUCAGCUCGUGCUGUGAAGUGUUGGGUUAAGUCCCUUAACGAGCGCAACCCCUGUUGCUAGUUGCCAGCGCGUAACGGCGGGGACUCUAGCGAGACUGCCGGUGUCAAACCGGAGGAAGGUGGGGAUGACGUCAAGUCAGCAUGGCCUUUAUGUCCAGGGCUGCACACGUGCUACAAUGGCGCGUACAGAGCGACGCGAUGCCGCGAGGCGGAGCAAAUCGCAAAAAGCGCGCCCCAGUUCGGAUUGCAGGCUGCAACUCGCCUGCAUGAAGUCGGAAUCGCUAGUAAUCGGAGAUCAGCUACGCUCCGGUGAAUACGUUCCUGAGCCUUGUACACACCGCCCGUCACGUCAUGGAAGCCGGGAGCGCCCGAAGUCGCCUCGAUUCAGAGGCGCCUACGGCGAGUUCGGUGACUGGGACGAAGUCGUAACAAGGUAGCCGUAGGAGAACCUGCGGCUGGAUCACCU
rnacentral:rRNA from 1 species